UCAACCACCUCUCUCAGACGUCGCCGCCCCUAGCCACUCUCUCUCGGUUUCAUCUCUCCCCCAAGUCUCGAACCUAUCCAAACGGCUCAAGCUACCAGGGGUGAGCCCCGGCAUGGCGAGACCCUCCGGCGGUGCACGGCAGGGCGCGGCCCCUCCGGCUGUGCAUGCGGGUUAGGGUCUCCGGCGGCGUGUGCGGGUUAAGGUAUCCAGCGGCACGUGCGGCUCAAGGGCGAGCGCUUCCGGCGGCUUGCAGGUAGGCCGCGGCCCCCUCCGGUGGCACUCUCCUCCACGGCGCACCCCUCCCACAGUACAGGCAGUCCCCAUGCGCAUCGCCAGUCACGACCCCAGCCUGCGUCCUCCGCGGAGCAGGCACCAACAGGCGCAGAUCUGAGGAUGCCGCCUCCUCUGGUGCUCUGCAGCCACCUUCCCCACUAAGAGGAGCCGCCUCCUCAAGUCUUCCGUUGAGCUGAGCAUCCCUCCCUCGACCAGGACAGCAGUGCUGAAUUCUGAAGGUGUUGCUCAGAACACAGGAGAGGCACAACAGUUGCUGGUAUGCAAUCAGCAAAUCUCUACGACUAAGGCCAAAAGAUAGUAUGGCGUGGACGGCUUGAUAUAGGAGUUAGUAAUAUCCAAACUAUUAUUGAUGUAUGGGCUUCAUGUAAAGAUGAAUGAUAAAUACACUUGUAAUGUUUGUAUGGAUACUUUACGUCAAUAUAAUGGUUGAGGACCAUCGUAAAAUAUCCAUGUGCAUGUCAUCUUGUGUCACUUGAAUAUAGUUACUAGAAUAUUAGAAUAUAUUGAUUACUGUAAUUAUUUUUUUUAUUGUUAGUAUAGAUUUCCUUAGGGGUUGGCGCUCAAGGAAAUCAAAAUUAACUUGACGGUUAGGGACAGUCAAGGAAAACUUUAAUUUCCUUGGAGGUGAAGAGCAGCCAAGGAAACAACAAUUACCUUGGCGGUUUAGAGUGUUUCCUUGAAGGUUAUUGACCCUCAAGAAAAUUAAUUUACUUGGCGACUUUGGACCCUCAAGAAAACUACUUUCCUUGGCGGUUGCAGUAUUUCCUUGGCGCUUUAGCAAAUUAAGUCUGGUUGUAAUUUCCUUAGCAGCUAGCCUUCAAGGAAAUCAUCCUUGAGUGUCAGAACCGCCAAGGAAACUAAUUUCCCUUAGCUUCUAUUCUUGAGUCCGUUUGCUUGACGGUUUAUGGUCAAGGAUCAUUUUCUUGGCGGUUUAACCCCUUUUCUUGGCGGUUUUUGGCACUCAAGGCAAUUCGAGAUUGUGGUAGUGAAACCCUUAUUUCCAUGUCUCAUUUUACUUGGUUGAUAUUUAAAUCAUGUAGUCCUCUUGUUGGACAUUGAAGCCGGAUAUUUCUUUCCAUUAUGUAAAAAGAAAAGAAAAAAUGUAUGAAGAUAAGAUUAAUCAGAGGUAUAAUAUAUGUAUAUUUUUGCCUCUGUGAAGAAAAAUUGUAUAAAGAUAAGUUUAAUCUAGACAAUUGUUCAUUGCUACUGCAACAUGUAAUCAAAUUAGAUAUUUGUAGUUGAAGGUCACAAAUAAAAGAAAAGGAUAUUUUUCCUAUCACCAGAAUAUGUAAUCUGUUUUGGUCAGAGUAACACGUCCUCAGUAGGGCAAAUUAUUCAGCCUAUUUGGUUGUGAUUUUUUCUGAGCUGCGGCUACAGCGCUAGCGGCAUGCUGUUAUAGAAACAGUACAAAUCCGUUUGCUGUUUGUAGACACAGUUGCAACUGUAAAAAUCUGCAGGGACCACAUCCAUUAUUAAGUAGUAUCACACUCAUUAUUUUCAUAGUCUAUGCAUGUACUACGUGACAGCAAAGAACCAAUUAAAGACUGACAAAUACCAGAAACUUGGAAACGCGUCACUAGUAGCAAUGUAGCAUAUCAUCUGAACGCAUGCAUUCAUCUGGCCAUGCAUGCACAGUCGCGGAAAGAGUGAACAAGAAUUUCUGAAGCAUCAUAACAAUUGCUAACUUGGCAUCCUUCAUCGAAAAAGUUCUAAAUUGUGACCUUGGCCCCAUUGCGUACGCUAGCUGGGCAUGUCUCCCAACUAGUUUGGCCUUUUUUUACAAAAAAAAAAAAAAAAUCCCAAAAUGACAACAUCCUUCCUCGAAAAUAGAAGCAGAGGCAAAAACAUAUUACGUGCAGCAAGAAAUGAAAGUUAAGAGUUAAGACCAAGACAUAAAAAUCCAUUGUUAACAUCAUCCUUCCAUGUUCUUUAUGAUGAGGCUCAAUGGUCAGCAGAUCAGGCGAUCACAGGUGUGCAACAGCCGCCCACUAGCAUCGACCAUAACCCUCCUCAGUGGGUGUUAUAUUGGUUGGAACAGAUCGUGCACGAAAUUGUUGCAUACUCAAGGAAGGGGAGGUCGUGUAGAGCCAUGCUGGAAUCAACCAGCCAUGCCAACAUGCAACAAACGGAACACAGGUGCAAGCUAGCCAAGGCAAGGCCGAAACAGAUGAAUACAGAACGUGCACCUGUUUUCUAGAUUGUUCCAUCAAAUUAAUUAAGCAUUUGACAUGUCGUUGGGCUAAUUGCCUAAUUUGCAGCUACUAUAGCCUGGUUGUUCCACCCUGGAUGCAACUUACUCAUAUUAAUUAUUUACCUCAAUCCUCAUACCGCUGAAGUUAUUUCAAUGUUCUCUCUUUUUCGAACAAUAGAUCUCUGUACGCCGAGUAAUUGCAGGAAAAACAACAAAUGUAUUGCUAGGCAAAGAUCAAUCGAUCAAUAGAUCAUACAGAAGUGAUCAAUAGAUUAUGCUGUCACACAGUGCAGUUGCCAGGCAAAAGAGCAAAUGGAAGAUGCACAGUGCUGCACGAAUAACUCUACUUCCUCUGGCGGAACCCAUGACCCCAGCUGUUUUGUGUUGCUUCGCUGGAUGACGGAAACCAAAUUCCCAGCUUCGAAAUUCCAGCAAUGCCAACAUGCGAACAUUGGGCAGCACUGGCACUCCACUACCGGAGAUACGCUCUUUGUCAAGUGUCGCACGCUUUGCCUAGCGUAAUGUAUCGGGCACUCGGCAAAGGAGUGAUUUGCCGAGUGUCACCCUCGGCAAAGAGAAGCACAUGGCAAAUCGAUGGUUUGCCUAGUGUUCGGCACUAGGCAAACCUUGACACUCGGCAAAUUGGAUGUUUGCCUAGUGUCUGGCACUAGGCACUUAGCAAAGCUUCCGUGACGGCAGAUGCUACCCAACUCGUCGUUAGGUUUUGUUGAGCGUCUCGUUAAACACUCAACAAAGUUAUAUUUUGCCUAGUGUUUGUUACUAACACUAGGCAAAGUUAAUAAUUUGUCUAGUGUUUUAUCCUGACACUAGGCAAAGUUACCAUUUUGCCUAGUGUUUUGCUUGGACACUCGGCAAUUUUUUUAUUUUUAAUUUCUGGCCUCCAAACUUUUUUUGCUAACGCCAUUAAGUAAUCUUGACUCCAUGUGAAAGUUUAAUGCCAUUCUCAAUCUAUUUGCUAUAUUGAGUUAAUUUACCUCAUUUAAUUGAAUUUUCAGGGAUAACUCAAAUUUAAACUAUAGAUGGUUUGAAUAAUUUAGAAAAAAUGGAAAAAUGAUAUUCAUGUUAUUUCAAAUCGAAUAAAGUUCAAAUGUAGGAAGUUACAUCAAAUUUCAAUCAUCUUGUUUUAUGAAACAAGAGCACGAUGUUGUGGCCUAGUCAUUUUUAAAUUUUAUAAAAACCAAACGAAAUCUGAAAAUCACGAGAUUUCUCAAAAUGUCAUGAUAUCAUAUGUUGAGGCUGUGACAAAAAUUUAAGAAUGUUUCACGGAAGUUGUCAUGUACGAUGCUUACAAAUCGGAACAUCUUCGAAGAAGUUUCAUAUUAGUUGAGUAGGAUCUGGUAAGAUUCCAUGUCAAAUUUAGUGUCCAGUUAGAGUUUCACUUCAAAACUUUUUGUAUAAUGAAUAGACGAUAGAGAUUAUUUCUUGUGAAAUUUUAGUAUUUUUUCGGGUCUGUUUGCUAAUUUUAAUUUGUAACCGCAAUUAUAGAAUUUUAUAAUUCCGGUAAAUAGAAUUAAAGCUAUAUAUAAUCGUGUGAAAUAAUGGCCAAAUAUUCAUACAAGCUUUGAAUAUAUAUUAUAGGGCGCAUUUAACAAGUUAUUUUAAAAGUUAAUUAAUCGAAACAAAUUAGUUAAAUAUAGUUCUGAAAAAAAAUAAAGAAAAUGAACAAAUAAAAUAACAUGUGGCCUUUGCUGAGUGUGUGCAGCUCGGCACUCGGCAAACUCUCCGGGACAGCCAAAAAACAGAACCACGCGCUCUAAGCCUGUGGCAUGCAUGGCCCACGUCUUAGAGAGAGGGGGCGAUAAGAAUGGCGUGGAUAGAGGUGCACCGCCGCGCGAAAAAUUCCGCAUCCUUAUCCUUUCACCGGACGGACUCUCCCUAUCUCCCCAGUUUCUUCCCCAUCUCCCUACUCUCUCUCGGCAGAAGGCAAUGGAGCACGGUGCAGCACAGGCAAGAGGACACCGCCGCUGCGCGUCUUUGGGAUCCGGUGACAAAAGCCACCUUGUUCCCCCUCUCUCUAUCCCCUCCCACGGCUUCUCCCUCUGCUUCCCACACAGUGCCAGUCAUGGGUGAGGAUUCCGGACUUGGUAGAUCCAGCAGCCAUGAGCCGGCGAGAUCUUAACGAAGGGUGGCCCAACGCAGGCAGGGUCAACACCGCCUUUGCUUCCUCGAGAUACAGCGAGUUGCUUCACUUCCCCGAGAUCCAGUGCUAAAAGCCCCUGCUCCUCCCCACGCAGGUCCAUGGUGUUGCAGCCAGCCCAAACGUACUUGAUGCCCAUGAAGAAGCCAGGAUCCGGCAGAACUUGAUCUUUAACUGCUGAUGCAUCCCAUUCCCAUCCCUAUAAUUAGACAUCUCUUCAAUGGUCACCAUGGAAUUCAUUCCCAUGUCAGCCCAUGUCUGAAUUAUAGUUUUUCUUGUGUGUUCCUACUUUGCACCAGGAAGUGGCAAAUGUGUUUUGCUGCCCUCGAAAUGGUGCAGCUAUAAAUAGAGUGUUGCCCUCGAGGACGUGUAAAGGCCAAAAGGUCCUCGAAUAUUCUUGCAAUAUGAUUGUUGAGUCAA